GUGGGGAAUAUUCCGCAAUGGACGAAAGUCUGACGGAGCAACGCCGCGUGAGUGAUGAAGGUUUUCGGACUGUAAAGCUCUGUUGUUUAGGACGAAAGUGCCUGUUGCAAAUAGUUACAGGUAUUGACGGUACUGAACGAGGAAGCCACGGCUAACUACGUGCCAGCAGCCGCGGUAAUACGUAGGUGGCAAGCGUUGUCCGGAAUUAUUGGGCGUAAAGAGCAUGUAGGCGGGAAUCUAAGUCUGUUGUGAAAAUGCGGGGCUCAACCCCGUAUUGCGAUGGAAACUGGGUUUCUUGAGUGCAGGAGAGGAAAGGGGAAUUCCCAGUGUAGCGGUGAAAUGCGUAGAGAUUGGGAGGAACACCAGUGGCGAAGGCGACUUACUGGGCCGUAACUGACGCUGAGGCGCGAAAGCGUGGGGAGCGAACAGGAUUAGAUACCCCGGUAGUCC
rnacentral:rRNA from 1 species